rnacentral:rRNA from 1 species
GGUGCUGCAUGGCUGUCGUCAGCUCGUGUCGUGAGAUGUUGGGUUAAGUCCCGCAACGAGCGCAACCCUUGUCAUUAGUUGCUACGAAAGGGCACUCUAAUGAGACUGCCGGUGACAAACCGGAGGAAGGUGGGGGAUGACGUCAAGUCCUCAUGGCCCUUAUAGGUGGGGCUACACACGUCAUACAAUGGCUGGUACAAAGGGUUGCCAACCCGCGAGGGGGAGCCAAUCCCAUAAAGCCAGUCGUAGUCCGGAUCGCAGUCUGCAACUCGACUGCGUGAAGUCGGAAUCGCUAGUAAUCGUGGAUCAGCAUGUCACGGUGAAUACGUUCCCGGGUCUU